AUGGGACGAACCAAUGCCAACCCCAUUUGGGCUAAGAUUUGGAAAUUAUCUUGUCCGGCGAAGGUAAAAAUCUUUAUUUGGCGUACGUUACAUGGAACUCUCCCUUGUCGUGCUACGCUCGCCAACAGACACAUAAAAACUUCGCCCAGAUGCCCGUCCUGUUCUAAUGGGCCAGAAGAUACGAAACACGUGUUGUUUCUUUUUCCAAAAGCAAAGGAAGUUUGGAAUAAGUUGGGAUUGCGCGACGUGAUUAACACAACUUGUGUUAUCGAUCGUGCUGGUGAGGCAGUUUUUGAGUUCUUGCUCCUUAUGUCGGAUCAAGAAUCAUCUAUUUUGGGUAUUCAAAAUGUUCGUGAGCUGAUUGCCAUAACUGCUUGGUACUUAUGGUGGGAUCGACGUAAGUUGGUUCAUGAGGGAAAGUCCCAGGAUGCAAGCCAGACUUCAAUGGGGGCUCAUGCUAUAACGGCAAAUUUUGUCAAUGCUCACUCACCUAAUGCUUACAGCAAAAAAGAAGGGUGGAGUAAACCUCCAAGGGGUUUUGUUAAGUUAAAUGUGGAUGUGUUGUUUGAUCAGGAUCUGCUUAGGGGCACAACGGGUGCUGUACUAAGAGAUGACAAAGGAAAUUUCACUAUGGGUGGAAACUGGAAGAUUGAUUGCUGCGCUGAUGUUCCGGUAGCAGAAGCUUGGGCUCUAAGGUUUGGCUUGUCUCUUGCACAAAGAGCGGGCUGCAACCGGCUUGUUAUUAACUCUGAUAAUACAAAGGUCAUUGAUACAAUGAAGAAUGGAGGAUGGUCCGCGGGAGCGGCAAUGGCAUUUUUUGAGGAUUGUUAUUUUCUAGCUUGUGAUUUUCCUCUCACUAGUUUUGAACAUUGUUAUAGAGAAGCGAAUAAGGUUGCCCAUGAACUUGGUAGAUUAGCUAAAUUUUUCGCAACUGGUGAUUGGUUCGAGGAGCCAUUGGAGGACAUUGUACCGCUUCUUAUAGAUGAUGUAACCAUUAUUUGCAAUUAA
rnacentral:rRNA from 1 species